AUGGGAUCUGUGAUGGUGUUCUAAAACUGCGUUAUCUAUCUGUAGUUUCUUCAAAAGAACUGAAGAUAAUCGUAAUCUACUGAGAUCUUGC
rfam:Vigna angularis cultivar Jingnong 6 scaffold332_10, whole genome shotgun sequence.